UACGAAGGGGGGCUAGCGUUGCUCGGAAUCACUGGGCGUAAAGGGUGCGUAGGCGGGUCUUUAAGUCAGGGGUGAAAUCCUGGAGCUCAACUCCAGAACUGCCUUUGAUACUGAGGAUCUUGAGUUCGGGAGAGGUGAGUGGAACUGCGAGUGUAGAGGUGAAAUUCGUAGAUAUUCGCAAGAACACCAGUGGCGAAGGCGGCUCACUGGCCCGGUACUGACGCUGAGGUGCGAAAGCGUGGGGAGCAACAGG
rnacentral:rRNA from 1 species